rnacentral:rRNA from 1 species
GAUGAACGCUAGCUACAGGCCUAACACAUGCAAGUCGAGCGACCGACGCACGGGUGGCUCACACGUAUCCAACCUGUCCUUUACUCGGGGAUAGCCGUUCGUAAGACUGAUUACUACUCGUUGUAAUGGUUGGGGAUGCGUUCCAUUAGGUUGUUGGUGAGGUAACGGCUCACCAAGCCUGCGAUGGAUAGGGGUUCUGAGAGGAAGCUCCACCAGAAUGGAACUGAGACCCGGUCCACACUGCUACGGGAGGCAGCGGUGAGGAAUAUUGGUCAAUGAGCGUUAACCUGAACCAGCCAAGUAGCGUGAAGGAUGAAGGGUUAGGAAUCCUAAGCUUCUUUUGAAUAAGAAUAUGUAUUAUAUGAAUAAGGAACGGCUAACUCCGUGCCAGCAGCCGCGGUAAUAC